UACGUAGGGGCCGAGCGUUGUCCGGAGUUAUUGGGCGUAAAGCGCGCGCAGGCGGCCUCGCGCGCCCGACGUGAAAGCCCCCGGCUUAACCGGGGAGGGUCGUUGGGGACGGCGGGGCUUGAGGGCGGGAGAGGUCGGUGGAAUUCCCGGUGUAGUGGUGAAAUGCGUAGAGAUCGGGAGGAACACCUGUGGCGAAGGCGGCCGACUGGGCCGACCC
rnacentral:rRNA from 1 species